GGAGUCUGGGCCGUGUCUCAGUCCCAAUGUGGCCGUUCACCCUCUCAGGCCGGCUAUGCAUCAUCGCCUUGGCGGGCCGUUACCUCACCAACUAGCUAAUGCACCGUAAGCCCAUCUACUUGUGUUUCUAACCUUUAAUAACAGAAGGAUGCCCUUCCGUUACCUAUCCGGUAUUAGCGCCCGUUUCCAGGUGUUAUCCCAGUCCGUGUAGGCAGGUUGCUUACGUAUUACUCACCCGUUCGCCACUCGCUAAAUCCAGCAAGCUGGAUCUCGCUCGUUCGACUUGCAUGUAUUAGGCACGCCGCCAGCGUUCAUC
rnacentral:rRNA from 1 species